AGCAUGGUGAGGACGACGUCUGCCAGCCCGAGUUUACAGGGGCCACCCAGCCAGGCCUGUAGCCUGAAGAAGAGGUCACAAGGACAUGAGCUGUGAUGAUCAACACUGUCAACGCCACAGGAUCUAGAGUCACCUAAGGGACAAACCUCUGGACAUUUCUACAAUGGAACUUUGAGAGGCACUGGACUUCAGUUGAAGUUGUCAUAGGACACGUUUAUGGGAAGGAUUUGAAAAGCCAGCCUGUUAUUUUCUGUGUUUUCCUGUCCCCCUGAUGGAAGGCUGACCACAAUGGAUUGGAG